rfam:Ovis aries breed Texel chromosome 1, whole genome shotgun sequence.
UCCCUGGCAGUCCAGUGGUUAGGACUCUGUGCUUUCAUUCCAAAGGGCCUGGGUUCAAUCCCUGGCUGGGGAA